rnacentral:lncRNA from 1 species
UUUUAACCUUUACUACAACCCAUCUGGACAAAAUAUUAAUGGACGCAUUCAUAGAAAAGGAAACAUGCUCAGAGGCACCCUCAUGUAUCCUAGGCUGAUGCCACCUUCUUUCUUUCAAAUUCCUUCAAUGUUUCACUUGUGUCAAAUGACUUGGUUCAGUCAUGCAACCAUUUUAGCUGAUUUCUUCACUGACUGAACCAGUACAAUUUAUUCAUUGUCUUAGGUUUGGGGUGACACAGCCUCACAGUUGAAAGGGACAUACAUGUUCAACGCCAUUGAAAUAAUGGAAUAAUCCACAGAUUGACUCAUGGCAUCUUGAAGAUUCUGCCCCCAAAGACACCAACAUGAGACAGGUUUUAAUCAUUAUAUCUAUAGACAUUUCCUGGAGCAAGAAGCUGUGGCCAUAUUUGGUAACUUUGUUGUGUACUACCAAACCUUGUGUAGGUGUACCAAAAUCAAGCACCUAUGGCUGAUGAAAUUGUCAUCCUCCAGGUUAAAGAGGUUCCAUAUCUUAGUCUAAAGGAGAGACACUGUUGUUCAACUACCGAUCUGGUUCCAAGAGCAGUGUUAAAUUUAAAGGGAUGACCAUUCAGCAACCUCACUUAUUGUGCUGACCUUGACUGUAGACCAGACUGUGACCAGAGGGCUUCAUCUUGUUGAAGAUGAUAGUCCCUGUCUCCAUUCUGUAAUGUCAGAAGUCUUCACUCUAGUCACAGGACAAGAAAUCUAAUGUCACCAUUCGAGAAUGGUGUAUCUUCUUUAAGCCCUUCCCAAUGGCUUUUAUGGCAAUGAAGAAACCAAGGACAUAUUUUUCUUGCCAUCUUACAUGCUGUUUAUAGUCUUUAUCUGGCAACAUGCCUGGAGUGUGAGGGUUGGUCUCUAGAUAGAUCUUUAAGGUUUUCUCCUUGCCAAUUACCAUCACUCAAAUACCCUCAUUAUCAGUGGGGAUCUUAAACUCUGGGUUACACCUCCUUUUUAAUUCUGCUUCCAGGAGUAGAGCUUCUAAAAUAGAUACCUCUAUUAAUGAUGUCACUCAGAUGACCAUUUGUCUGUGCCUGAUGAUGGAGUUGGAAAGAUGACAGUUUUUGAAAGAAAAGGUAAAUCAUUCAAAGAAAGUUUUUUAUACACAAAGCUGUAUUAUCUCCACUUAAUAUGGCAUAACAAUGCUCUACAAGGGAGCCUAAAGUACUAAGAGCAAAAUGAUUUACAUACACCAAUAUUAGAUUCCCUAUUUUGUUUACAGUCUUAUACCGGGCUUCACAGAGGGCUGAAGUAUCUUUUUUUUUUUUUUAAGAUUUUUUAAAAGAUUUAUUUAUUCGAGAGAGAGAGAGAGAGAGUGAGCACAUAGAGGGGCAGAGACAGAGGGAGAAAGAGAAAAGCUGACUCCCCACUGAGUGUGGAGCGUGGUAUGGGGUUCUAUCUCAUGACCCUGAGAUGAUAACCUGAGCUUAAAUCAAGAGUCAGACACUAAACUGACUGCGUCACCCAGGCACUUCUGAGUUAUCUUUAAUUUCGGGUUUCCCUCAUCUCACUUUUGAACAAGCAUCCAAUAACUUUCUCACUCCUGCAGUAUUCACAUUUCUAGUUCCUUAAGUCUUUUUAAGACCUAAGCAUAGAAAAAAAAAAAAAAAAGGACUGAAAGGGAAUUUUAGAAAGUUGAAAUAUUUACAUCAAAUUUUAAUGACAUGGAUUCCUGGGUGGCGCAGCGGUUUGGCGCCCGCCUUUGGCCCAGGGCGCGAUCCUGGAGACCCGGGAUCGAAUCCCACGUCGGGCUCCCGGUGCAUGGAGCCUGCUUCUCCCUCUGCCUGUGUCUCCGCCUCUCUCUCUCUCUCUCUGUGACUAUCAUAAAUAAAUAAAAAAA